CAAUUAUGUUUUUUUUUCUUUUACAGUAACUGAAGCAAUGGCCUAGACCAAGAUGGUGAAAGGCGAAUGGGCUCAGGCGACAUGGUACAAUAUUCUCUCGUGGUGCAGCAGCAGCAGCAAGCUACGGCUCCCAGUCAGCCACAAUGUCACAAGGGUAAACAAGUAGGCUUCAUGCCUGGUGUGGAGCCCGGUGUAGGGUUUGAACCUAUGACCCUGAUAUCAAGACCUGAGCUGAGAUCAAGAGUGGGUGUUCAACCAACUGAGCCACCCAGAUGCCCCAAAUAUGUCUUACUUUUUAAAGUAAAAAUCUAAAAAAGAGCAAACAAAACAGGCAAAGUUUCUUUGUUUCUAGCUACAUAUAAACAUCUAUUUAGCUACUUUUUCAUAUGUUCAAACAUCCAAAGGCACAAAUGUUUACACAUUAAAGAUACAAGAAAUGGAUGGUCAGAAUCAGGUCUCACAAUAGACCGAUUAACUGAAAUAUCAAAUAUCUACAACAUGCUGAACACUGUGCUAGGCUCUUAGAUAUGAAAUGGAGGACAUGGUUUGCUUUGCAAAAGCUCAUACUCUAGAGUGGAGAAGCCAUCACAA